CAACACCACUGCUCGUGCUACUCGUGCUACUUUGGCUCGUUUGGGAUUUCAUUGUUGAAGCGAAUAUCGACAGUAUAUGGGAAUAUCAAGUCUGUAAAUUACUGUAAAUGUAUCCUCCAUGUUCCUGUUCUGGGUGUUUCCCUGUUGUUGACCCCGGACAUUAGGAUAAUCUCCAGACCAUACACAGGAGAAAGCGGUUUAGAGAAUGGAUGGAUUCGUGGUAAAACAAGUUUCCCAAACACCCCAUCUGCCAUUGAUUUGACAAGCAAGAAGUCCCGCCUCAAACGAAGACUGCAGUUGUAUUGAUGAGCAUAUUGAUGGCUACAGGAAGAGUCAUUUCUCCAUGCUGUCCCCUCAUCUCAUCCUUCUCUUCUACUGCAAGAGACAAUCACAACAGAACAAGAUUUAUUUCACCUCAGCUAAGUACUUAAGAAUUUAAAGUGAGUCCACAUGCCCUUCCAAGGAAAUGGUACAUGGACACAUAUUGGGAUUUGAAUGGGUGAAAAUCCAGGAAAAUGGAAAAAUUGAGUUAUGAUGAAAGUGCAGUCAAACAUUCAGCAGCCAAGUGUAAAGACUAAAGGAGUAUAAUAAAUUAUAA